CCUACGGGGUGCAGCAGUGGGGAAUAUUGGACAAUGGGCGAAAGCCUGAUCCAGCCAUGCCGCGUGUGUGAAGAAGGCCUUCGGGUUGUAAAGCACUUUCAGUGGGGAAGAAAGCCUUGGGGCUAAUACCCUCGAGGAAGGACAUCACCCACAGAAGAAGCACCGGCUAACUCCGUGCCGAGCAGCCGCGGUAAUACGGAGGGUGCGAGCGUUAAUCGGAAUUACUGGGCGUAAAGCGCGCGUAGGCGGUCUGAUAAGCCGGUUGUGAAAGCCCCGGGCUCAACCUGGGAACGGCAUCCGGAACUGUCAGGCUAGAGUGCAGGAGAGGAAGGUAGAAUUCCCGGUGUAGCGGUGAAAUGCGUAGAGAUCGGGAGGAAUACCAGUGGCGAAGGCGGCCUUCUGGACUGACACUGACGCUGAGGUGCGAAAGCGUGGGUAGCAAACAGGAUUAGAUACCCGAGUAGUC
rnacentral:rRNA from 1 species